GAUGAACGCUGGCGGCGUGCCUAAUACAUGCAAGUCGAGCGAACAGACGAGGAGCUUGCUCCUCUGACGUUAGCGGCGGACGGGUGAGUAACACGUGGAUAACCUACCUAUAAGACUGGGAUAACUUCGGGAAACCGGAGCUAAUACCGGAUAAUAUAUUGAACCGCAUGGUUCAAUAGUGAAAGACGGUUUUGCUGUCACUUAUAGAUGGAUCUGCGCCGCAUUAGCUAGUUGGUAAGGUAACGGCUUACCAAGGCAACGAUGCGUAGCCGCCCUGAGAGGGUGAUCGGCCACACGGGAACUGAGACACGGUCCAGACUCCUACGGGAGGCAGCAGUAGGGAAUCUUCCGCAAUGGGCGAAAGCCUGACGGAGCAACGCCGCGUGAGUGAUGAAGGUCUUCGGAUCGUAAAACUCUGUUAUUAGGGAAGAACAAAUGUGUAAGUAACUAUGCACGUCUUGACGGUACCUAAUCAGAAAGCCACGGCUAACUACGUG
rnacentral:rRNA from 1 species